UACGUAGGGUGCUAGCGUUGUCCGGAUUUAUUGGGUUUAAAGGGUGCGUAGGCGGCUUUUUAAGUCAGGGGUGAAAGACGGUAGCUCAACUAUCGCAGUGCCCUUGAUACUGAAGAGCUUGAAUGCACUAGAGGUAGGCGGAAUGUGACAAGUAGCGGUGAAAUGCAUAGAUAUGUCACAGAACACCAAUUGCGAAGGCAGCUUACUAUGGUGUCAUUGACGCUGAGGCACGAAAGCGUGGGGAUCAAACAGG
rnacentral:rRNA from 1 species